AACGAAAAGAAGUUUAUUUAGCUCACAGUUCUGGAAGCUGGGAAGUUCAAGAUUGAGCAGCUGCUUCUAGUGAGGGCCUCAUGCUGCAUCCAGACAUCCAAAUGGAGAAACAGAAGGGAAACUGGGCAUGUGCAAAAUGGGCAAAACAAGAGAGGCAAACCUCGCUUUAUGACAACCCACUCUCAUGGGAACUAUACCUUUCCCAAGAAAGACAUUAAUCCAUCUUAAUAACCUAUUCACUCUUAAAGGCACCACCUCCCACCACCACAUUUGGGGACCAAGCCACAACAUGAGUUUUGAUGGGGACAAACUAUAUUCAAACCAUAGUAACGAGGGAAUAGCAUUAUAGGAGUCCAGUGAAAGCUCUGUCUUUGCCCCCAACAUGGGGAAGCCAAUGCUGAAAAGCAGGGAGGGAUUGGGAAAGAAAUACCUGAUCUCUCUCUCCACCUGCCCUCUGGUUGCCUGCUGUUGCCUCCCACUGAACAAACAGUGGAAGCAGCCAGCAAGGGAGACUGGGUAAUGCAGUCCGUGGAGACCAGUCCCCCAGAGCUCAGAGCAAGGCUGAGAAGAGCAGGGAACAGGUUGGGAUGUGAGGGCAACAGAGAAAUCAGCACAGGUCCUGGCAGAGAUACCAGAUUCCAGAGUUUGGAGCUCAAACCUGAUCCUUGAAACUGGUUACCAGAAUCAGCAUAUGACCAUAGGAUGCCUGGGUCUGCUCAGAGCCUUGGAGAGGAGGUGAGGCAAGGCAGGGCUUCAUCCCCUCAGCUGUGUAGGAAGGCAGGUGCCCAUGCUCUACUGGUGGAGAAGUCAGGCUCUCUGAGUCUGCAGAUCUGCACGUAUCCUUUCCAGCACUGUCACAGCUUUGCCAGGGGAACAUGGAACUGCUGCAUCUCCAUAGAGGGGAGGAUGGGGGAGGCUGGAAGAUGCCCUGGAAGCAGGGGUCUUUGUCUUCCUUCUUAGUGCCUUACUCUUCUUUUGGGGACUGCUGAAUGGGUGAUGCCCACAUAGACCCUAAAUUAAGACAGAGGACAGUGCCUCUAUAGAUAGAAGACAAAGAGUGAGAAGAUCAUUUUGUUCCCACUCCUCCCUCUGACCUCUGUCUGUGUCUAAGCCCGUAUGUGUCUCUGCAGGUGUUGGGGGCAAUCUGGUGGCAGUGCAGGCCAGCCGCAUCUCCACCUUCCUGCACAUGAAUGGAAUGCCCGGAGAGAACUCUGAGCAAGCUCCUCGCCGCUGUCCCAGUCCUUGUACCACCUUCUUCAGCCCUGAUGUGAAUUCUCGCUCAGCCCGGGUCCUCUUCCUCCUCGUGGUCCCAGGACACCUGGUGUUCCUCUACACCAUCAGCUGUAUGCAGGGCGGGCACACCACCCUCACACUCAUCUUCAUCAUCUUCUAUAUGACAGCUGCACUGCUCCAGGUGCUGAUUCUCCUGUACAUCGCAGACUGGAUGGUGCACUGGAUGUGGGGCCGGGGCCUGGACCCGGACAACUUCUCCAUCCCAUACUUGACUGCUCUGGGGGACCUGCUUGGCACUGGGCUCCUAGCACUCAGCUUCCAUGUUCUCUGGCUCAUAGGGGACCGAGACACGGAUGUCGGGGACUAGCUUGGUCACUCAACAUUUUCCCCAUCCCUCUGCACUUUCUAUUUGAAAUUUUUCUUUUGUUCCCCUGUCCCUCCUCCACCCCACACUCCCACCUCUUUCUAGGACUUCACUUUGAUACCAAAUUCUCAUUAUUUUCAAUGGGAAUUUUUAUACAUUGAGCCAAGUUUGUAUAGCAAGAAUUUGGGAAACACAGAUGGCCUGAGAUAAGCAGUACAAGUAGGUUUUUGAGACAAUCACCAAGUGCAGUUUCAUGGUGGGUGCCUCCAGGUGAUGUGGACUGGAGCAGGGGAGUUUUGUCUGGAAUCUGGGGACAUGGGGUUUGGCUUUAGCAACCUGUCUUGGCCCUAAUGAGAAACCCUUUGUAAGUGGGCUCUGGAUUUUUGGUUUUGUUUUCUUUUUAUCUGUUUUGUUUUAUUUUUGGUUUUGGUUGAACAGAGGGACAGAAGAAUAAGUAACACUCCCAAACACAGACAUACUUUUGUAGAAGUGGACCAACUUCAAAGCUCUGGACAGGAGACAGCUGCUCCAGGCCCCUGUGAUCCCAGCUCUGUUCUCUUGCCCUCUGGACCUAAGCGUUCCCACUCGCAGAAAGAGUAAGGUGGACUGACUUUUC
rnacentral:sRNA from 1 species